CCUACGGGAGGCAGCAGUGGGGAAUAUUGCACAAUGGGGGAAACUCUGACGCAGCGACGCCGCGUGAGUGAAGACGUACUUCGGUAUGUAAAGCUCUUUUAGCAGGGAAGAAAAUGAUGGCACUUGAUUAAGAAUCCCCGGCUAACUACGAGCCAGCAGCCGCGGUUAUACGGAGGGGGCAAGCGUUAUCCGGAUUUACUGGGUGUAAAGGGGGCGUAGGCGGCAGCACAAGUCUGGAGUGAAAUGCCGGGGCUUAACCCCGGAAGUGCUUUGGAAACUGUGCGGCUAGAGUGCAGGAGAGGUAAGUGGAAGUCGUAGUGUAGCGGUGAAAUGCGUAGAUAUUAGGAGGAACACCAGUGGCGAAGGCAGCUUACUAGACUGUAACUGACGUUGAGGCUCGAAAGCGUGGGGAGCAAACAGGAUUAGAUACCCCUGUAGUC
rnacentral:rRNA from 1 species